rnacentral:tRNA from 1 species
GAGGGGAUAGCUCAGUGGUAGGGCACGUGCUUAACAUGCACGAGGUCCUAGGUUCAAUCCCCAGUACCUCCA